rnacentral:rRNA from 1 species
GAUGAACGCUGGCGGCGUGCCUAAUACAUGCAAGUCGAGCGAAUGGAUUAAGAGCUUGCUCUUAUGAAGUUAGCGGCGGACGGGUGAGUAACACGUGGGUAACCUGCCCAUAAGACUGGGAUAACUCCGGGAAACCGGGGCUAAUACCGGAUAAAAUUUUGAACCGCAGGGUUCGAAAUGUAAAGGCGGCUUCGGCUGUCACUUAUGGAUGGACCCGCGUCGCAUUAGCUAGUUGGUGAGGUAACGGCUCACCAAGGCAACGAUGCGUAGCCGACCUGAGAGGGUGGUCGGCCACACUGGGACUGAGACACGGCCCAGACUCCUACGGGAGGCAGCAGUAGGGAAUCUUCCGCAAUGGACGAAAGUCUGACGGAGCAACGCCGCGUGAGUGAUGAAGGCUUUCGGGUCGUAAAACUCUGUUGUUAGGGAAGAACAAGUGCUAGUUGAAUAAGCUGGCACCUUGACGGUACCUAACCAGAAAGCCACGGCUAACUACGUGCCAGCCGCCGCGGUAA